rnacentral:tRNA from 1 species
AAGGAUAAUCGGAAAGUGACAGUACAUUAGAUUGUAAAUUUGGCAGUUCAAAGUUUUGUUUAGUUUUGAGUGUGGUACUGUAAUAGGUAUCAUGGUCAAAAAUGAUCCUAUGGGGAAUUAGCUCAGCUGGGAGAGCACCUGCUUUGCAAGCAGGGGGUCAGCGGUUCGAUCCCGCUAUUCUCCAUAGACAACUGAAAGGUUGUCGCGGUUGUACAUUGAAAACUGAAUAGUAACAAAUUCUUUUAAAUAAUUGAAAAAUUAAUUAAAUUGAACCGAGAAACAACACAAAAAAGUUCUUUAAUAAAGAACGGUUUAAUCGCAGGUCUGAAAAAAGACCAACUCAUAAACUUAAACCACAACUUCGGUUGUAUA